GACGAACGCUGGCGGCGUGCCUAAUACAUGCAAGUCGAGCGGAUUUUCGGAAGCUUGCUUCCGAAAAUUAGCGGCGGACGGGUGGGUAACACGUGGGCAACCUGCCUGUAAGACUGGGAUAACUUCGGGAAACCGGAGUUAAUACCGGAUACAUUCUUCCCUCGCAUGAGGGAAGAUGGAAAGACGGUUUUGCUGUCACUUACAGAUGGGCCCGCGGCGCAUUAGCUAGUGGGUGGGGUAAUGGCCCACCAAGGCGACGAUGCGGAGCCGACCGGAGAGGGUGAUCGGACACACUGGGACUGAGACACGGCCCAGACUCCUACGGGAGGCAGCAGUAGGGAAUCUUCCGCAAUGGACGAAAGUCCGACGGAGCAACGCCGCGUGAGCGAAGAAGGCCUUCGGGUCGUAAAGCUCUGUUGUCAGGGAAGAACAAGUACCAUAGUAACUGAUGGUACCUUGACGGUACCUGACCAGAAAGCCACGGCUAACUACGUGCCAGCCGCCGCAGUAAAAC
rnacentral:rRNA from 1 species